GCCGGAGUGGUGAAAUUGGUAGACGCAGGGGACUCAAAAUCCCCCGCCCGAGAGGGCGUGCCGGUUCGAUUCCGGCCUCCGGCACCA
rnacentral:tRNA from 1 species